GAUGAACGCUAGCUACAGGCUUAACACAUGCAAGUCGAGGGGCAGCAUGGUCUUAGCUUGCUAAGGCCGAUGGCGACCGGCGCACGGGUGAGUAACACGUAUCCAACCUGCCGUCUACUCUUGGACAGCCUUCUGAAAGGAAGAUUAAUACAAGAUGGCAUCAUGAGUCCGCAUGUUCACAUGAUUAAAGGUAUUCCGGUAGACGAUGGGGAUGCGUUCCAUUAGAUAGUAGGCGGGGUAACGGCCCACCUAGUCUUCGAUGGAUAGGGGUUCUGAGAGGAAGGUCCCCCACAUUGGAACUGAGACACGGUCCAAACUCCUACGGGAGGCAGCAGUGAGGAAUAUUGGUCAAUGGGCGAGAGCCUGAACCAGCCAAGUAGCGUGAAGGACGACUGCCCUAUGGGUUGUAAACUUCUUUUAUAAAGGAAUAAAGUCGGGUAUGGAUACCCGUUUGCAUGUACUUUAUGAAUAAGGAUCGACUAACUCCGUG
rnacentral:rRNA from 1 species